rnacentral:rRNA from 1 species
GACGAACGCUGGCGGCGUGCUUAACACAUGCAAGUCGAACGGAAAGGCCCUGCUUUUGUGGGGUGCUCGAGUGGCGAACGGGUGAGUAACACGUGAAUAACCUGCCCUUGACUUUGGGAUAACUUCAGGAAACUGGAGCUAAUACCGGAUAGGAGCUCCUGCUGCAUGGUGGGGGUUGGAAAGUUUCGGCGGUUGGGGAUGGACUCGCGGCUUAUCAGCUUGUUGGUGGGGUAGUGGCUUACCAAGGCUUUGACGGGUAGCCGGCCUGAGAGGGUGACCGGCCACAUUGGGACUGAGAUACGGCCCAGACUCCUACGGGAGGCAGCAGUGGGGAAUAUUGCACAAUGGGCGGAAGCCUGAUGCAGCAACGCCGCGUGCGGGAUGACGGCCUUCGGGUUGUAAACCGCUUUCGCCUGUGACGAAGCGUGAGUGACGGUAAUGGGUAAAGAAGCACCGGCUAACUACGUG